rfam:Oryza barthii chromosome 4, whole genome shotgun sequence.
AAUAAAUAUAGUUUUACACUGUUCACGUUCAAUGUUUGACCGUUCGUCUUAUUUAAAAAAUUUUUAUGAUUAGUAUUUUUAUUGCUAUUAGAUGAUAAAACAUAAAUAGUACUUUAUGCGUAACUAAAUAUUUUUCAAAUUUUUCACAAAUUUUUUAAAUAAGACGGACAGUCAAACGUUGGGCACGGAUAUCGCUGCAUUUAUU